UCAGUUUUCUUCUUCCUUCUUCAAUAGUUACUUUGGAUGAUUACAAACUCCCCAAUAGUGAUGAAGAAGAGGAGGAAGCCAUUCAGAGAGUUCUGAAGCAGCUUACUGAGGAGGCAGCUCUAGAUGAAGCAAGUGGCUUCAAUAUUUCUCCAAAUCAGUCUGCAACUGUGCAAUGGAAUCCCACUGAGAAAACCAAGGCACAAGCUCCAGUUGUUGCUAAACAUCUAAUCUUGCCUCCAAAAGCACCAGACAGUGAUGAGGAAGAAUUACCCUGGUGCUGUAUCUGCAAUGAAGAUGCCACUGUGCGCUGCCAUAGCUGUGAUGAUGACCUCUAUUGCCAGCAAUGCUUCAGGGAAAGCCAUGAUGAGUAUGAUUGGAAGGAGCACAGAACAUCUGGCUAUCGUCCUCCCUGCUGGCAAAAAUGAGCCCAAAGAGCAUGAGGGGAAGGGUCCAAAAAAGACAGUGGCCAGAAACUGGGCUACGAAGAGCAACUCUGGACUAUUAAGGAAGGGCAAAGCUAUGCUUGGCAAGAACAAGGCAGCUGCAAUGAAGUUAAAUGAGACACUGAAGCUGGUUUGUCUUGUGAAUAAGCCAUGGAGAAUAAUAUGGUUAAAUAGGAAGGUUAUUGUGCAUCAGAGGACUAUGAUUAGUGGAGAAAUACAGUGUGAAUAUUUGCAAAGGUAAUAAAUGAUAUGAAGAAAAUAAUGCAAUGAACUUGGGCUCUGUUUCUCUGCUACAAAAAAAAAUCAGCCUCAUAUUUCUGAUUUUUAGCAACUUAUCAACAGAUUCUAAAGCACUUUAAAAAUUAUGUACUGUUGUUCAUUCCUCAGAAAAGCUCAUUGGUGUAGGCAGCCCAUUGACAUUGCUGGGGGUGCCUGUCUGGGCGCUAUCUUCAUCCGCACCAUUCACAUUCCAGGAGGCUGCCUACUGUCUGUCCUUGCCAAUGAAUGUGAAGUGUUCUGGGAUUUACUGGGUAUGGAAAGUCCUUGCAGGGAUCAAGCCAAAUGGUCAGUGAGGCUGCCCUUCCAGGUUGAUAUCUGUAGAGGCACUUCUGUUUCUUUAUGCUGAUAUCAUAAUCCAACUAUGCACAUUCCACUAGUUCCUCUUUCAGUUAUACCAAUCAUCUGCCGAAAUGCGUAUGGGGGCAGGGCAAUUGUUUGAAAUGUGGGUGCUUAAGAAACCAUGAGAUUGAGGCUUCUCAGGUACUUCAUCCCUGAGACACUAUUUUUUCAUUUCAGGUGUAUGUCAUUCCUCUUUUCAAUAUCAGAUUUCACUAGAACUGUUCCUCCUGGAGCACCUGGUGGAGAGAAUUACGUCCACUUGCCUUUCUCCUCCAGGCUUCAGGUAUCAGGAGGAAUGGGCAACUAGCUAUUAAUUUACCCCAUUGCUGUCAUCACCGAUGUUCAAGGUUGGCCAGUGCACAACAUAUUGGAUAGAUUCAUCCUUCCCGGGGGGGAGGGGGCAGGAUGGCUCUUGAUGUCCUUCCAAAUUCUCUUUUCAAUCAGCCAUAAACCCUCACUCUGCUGUCCUUCUUUGCCUCAUCUUCUCAUCUCUUCUGUAUGAGAGGUCUCUCUGUGGGUAUAUGUUUAUAGAACUGAAUAGGGUAUAUUUUUUGUUCGUGAUUUGUUUCUUGUUUUAAACUUGGGAAUCAAUGGAGAUUAUCUCUAUAAGUGUGUGUCUUUCAAUAUAUGUUAAACAAGUAAAUUAACAGUCAUAUUCUUUUUCAUAUUAUUUAAAUUUCAUUCUGUUUCACCUAUUUUUAAAAUCUCUUUACCCCUUCCUCCUCUUAUGGUAAGGCCUUUGAUAUGUUCCUCAAAGGCUUGGGCAGCCCUUGACCCAAUAAAAGUUACAUACUCCUGCCCUAGAUAUUUGGGCAUUUAAAAUGGAUAAUUCAGAUGGCAGCCACAUGAAAUAGUAAACGUUACUCAUCAAUUAACAUUUUCCCUCUUUCAUUGUUUUGCUUUUCUUCAAGUUAACUUAGUCUCAAAUAUAUGACCCAAUGUGGCCAAAUUAUUCUACAUAUCUGAACAGAGGGCAAUAAAAUGGCUUUUCUUCCCAAAUUGACAGCUCUGCAUAAACUGAAUUUCUUACCUGUGUUAAGAAGUUAAGAUUGUGUUAAAGCAAUUUAGGGCUACAGAAAACCUGGCAUCAAUUUAUGUCUAUUAACAGCUAAUUUGCAGUCAUAAUAACUUUCUCACUGAAACUUGUCCUUUGCAUGUAAUUGUGUCUUAGGUGAAUUAAAGGACAAUCUUCUAUGGGAAGUCGAGAAUUUGGCAAGAAUUUCAAUGCAAUCAGACUCAGAAUUCAGUUAUGAGUUUGGUUUAUAAUGCGUAGCCAGAAAAAUGCAGAUGUGUGGAAGAAAUACAUGCUCAAGAGGGAAACAUUUCCAGGGUCAUCUUCAGCUGUAAUGUCUCCUUCAACCUCUUUUUGACCCUUGGUGUUGCUUGCCUGCAGUAUGUUUUACAGCCUUGAAGAACUGGUCAAACAAGUAUGAUAGAAAUUGUGUGGUAGAAAACAAUUUAAGAAAUUGACUAGCACUUGUGCACUUAUAGCCAGCUUGUGAAUAGCAAUGCAUGUUCCAUAAUGGAUUUCAACAGUAAAUAUGUUUUCAUUUUUUUCAGCAGUAACCAAAUGGUCACUUCCUAUAGUUAUAUACAUACGCCAAUGUACAUUUUCCAAAUGGCUGGCUACAACAUUAAAAAAAUAAUAAUUAAAAGAUAACAAAGACAGUAAAAUAUAAGCUCAAAAUAUCAGGUUUUCAGCUUUGAAAAAAUAAGACUAGUCUGACACAGAGCAGGAAGAACAAAUUGUUUGAAAGGUUGUAUGGAAAUGAAAAAGAAAUUAUCCUUACUUGAAGCUACUGUAUAAAGUAGAUACAGUACCAAGAAAGCUGACCUUGCAAAUAUCUUGAAGUCACAACUCAGGUGCUGCCACAAGACAGUGCUCUUCCUAAAAUUUCCCUGUCUUCCUAAAUUGGCAGGAACAUCUGGAGCAGAGUCUCUUGAGUAAUUUGGUGGCUGUCUGACAGAGAACAGGCUCAUAACAGAAUGCAAGAUGCCAUAGUCUAGUGAAGAGAGAAUGACGUUUAAGUUUCAGACCUUGUAUGCAUUUAUUUUUAAAUAUGUCCCUACACUCAGCUUUAAAACCAAGUUUCCCAAGGGGGCUUACAAUACAUUAAAACCACCACAAUUUCCAUAAUAAUUAAAAUGCAAAAGUAAACAGCCAGAGUAAUGAAAAUGUACAAUAAAAUAAGCAAAAAUAGCAGUCCUUUAAAAGUUUUGGUGUAGCAUAUAUCCCUCUGGAGCAAGAUAAUGUAUGCCAGUGUGGCUCUUUGUGGCAAUUGGGGUUAAUGCUGGGACUCUCCAGGGCCAAAGCAGAUUUUUUUUUUUAAGUGCUUUGGAUGGAAACCUCCAAAAUGGUCGGGGAGUUUCUGUUUGAUUCUGUGGACUGGGGAUUAAUAAAAGCUGUCCACUCCACCAAAGUAUCUAUCUACCACAGAAGUUUUUCUCUAGCUUGCUUUAAUGUUCUGUCCCCAAUGGUAUUAAAGUAUGUCCAUGUAAAGUUCAUUGCAUCAAAUUCUGUUUGCUGUGUGCUGAUCUUAUACCUCCCCUGGAAUGUAAUCCACCUGAUAGAUCAGAGGAAGACUGUAUUAUUAGCCUUUUGUUUGAUAUCAGCACCUUUGAGAUCACCAGGAGAAUCAAAAGAUUUCUAUCAUGAUUGCACAGCCAGAACUAUUCAAGCAAGUUGAGCCUGUAUGUUAUUGUUUACUAAUGUUGGGUUAUCUUCCUCUUGUUUUAACCUUUUUUCUUUUUCAGUUUGACUUUUCUGUAUACUGUAAUUUGAUCUUUCAUCAGGGUAAAGCUAGAACGAAGCAUAUGCAUGCUUAAUCACUGUAUUAAAAUACCUAAGACAAUAAAAAUAUUUUUUCCUGGUCCCCAAAAGACUAUAACAUCAGU